UCGUUGAGGAAUGACCAUGGAACCCUUAAGGCCAUGAUCGGAUCCGAUUUCAACGAGCUCACUAUCGCUGCUAAGAACCUAGCUACACACGCCUUCACACUCACUGGUUUAGGCUUUGGUACCUCUGUCCUCGAAUGGGUUGCUUCAAUCGCCGCCAUGUAACCAUUCUCUCUGUUUCUAUGUCUCUUUCCUCUAUCCGUUUCUUGUGUUGAUCUUGAUGAGGUUUUGAUGUAAUAAAUGCAGAUACUUGUUGGUGUUGGAUCGAACCAAUUGGAAGACGAAUAUGCUCACAUCACUUCUCAUUCCUUACAUCUUCUUCAGUCUUCCUUCCUUGAUCUUUGGUAUUUUCAGGUAUAACACAACAAAAGCCAGAGACUUUUUCUUUACUUAUCAUUAUGUUCCUAAACCCUAACUUGUGUCUGAAACUUUGACAGAGGAGAAAUUGGUAAAUGGAUUGCUUUCGUAGCUGUUGUUGUACAACUCUUCUUUCCUAAACACGCCAGAGGUUUGUCUACUUUUUUUCAUUCACUCUCCAUUACAAGCAACAAGACUUUGAUUCUGAUUUGGCUUAUCUCUGUUGUUUGUGUUAUUAGAAUACCUGGAAUUACCGGUGGCUUUGGUUCUUCUCGCCGUGGUGGCACCAAAUUUGAUUGCUGGCACAUUCAGAGACAGUUGGAUUGGUUUAGCUAUAUGUUUAGGUAUUGGAUGUUACUUGCUUCAAGAACACAUUAGAGCUUCAGGUGGAUUCAGAAAUGCAUUUACUAAAGCCAAUGGUAUCUCCAACACCGUCGGGAUCAUCUGUCUCGUCGUCUUCCCCGUCUGGG
rnacentral:lncRNA from 1 species